rnacentral:misc_RNA from 1 species
UUGGCGUAAAAAGAAGGAUGGAAGGACUGUAGGAGAGGCACAUGAGCGGCUUAAGGUUGGAAACGCUGAAGCCCUAAAUUGUUAUUAUGCACAUGGUGAGAAGAACUCUAAUUUCCAGAGGCGCAGCUAUUGGAUAUUGGAUCCUGCCUACGAGCACAUUGUUCUGGUUCACUACAGAGAUAUAACUGAGGUCAGUCUUCAGGAAUCCAAUUGUACAAAUAUCCCAUUUCCUGACAUGACUCUUGCUACUAAUUUAACUCUAUUUUCAUCAAG